GAUGAACGCUGGCGGCGUGCCUAAUACAUGCAAGUCGAGCGAACGGACGAGAAGCUUGCUUCUCUGAUGUUAGCGGCGGACGGGUGAGUAACACGUGGAUAACCUACCUAUAAGACUGGGAUAACUUCGGGAAACCGGAGCUAAUACCGGAUAAUAUUUUGAACCGCAUGGUUCAAAAGUGAAAGACGGUCUUGCUGUCACUUAUAGAUGGAUCCGCGCUGCAUUAGCUAGUUGGUAAGGUAACGGCUUACCAAGGCAACGAUGCAUAGCCGACCUGAGAGGGUGAUCGGCCACACUGGAACUGAGACACGGUCCAGACUCCUACGGGAGGCAGCAGUAGGGAAUCUUCCGCGAUGGGCGAAAGCCUGACGGAGCAACGCCGCGUGAGUGAUGAAGGUCUUCGGAUCGUAAAACUCUGUUAUUAGGGAGGAACAUAUGUGUAAGUAACUGUGCACAUCUUGACGGUACCUAAUCAGAAAGCCACGGCUAACUACGUG
rnacentral:rRNA from 1 species